rnacentral:rRNA from 1 species
UCUAGUGAUGAUGGAGAAGAGGUCACACCCGUUCCCAUACCGAACACGGAAGUUAAGCUCUUCAUCGCCGAUGGUAGUUGGGGGUUUCCCCCUGUGAGAGUAGGACGUCGCUAGGC